rnacentral:miRNA from 1 species
UGUGUGAAGUAGAGGAAC